AGCGAACGCUGGCGGCAGGCCUAACUCAUGCAAGUCGAACGGACCCUUCGGGGUUAGUGGCGGACGGGUGAGUAACACGUGGGAACGUGCCUUUAGGUUCGGAAUAGCCCCUGGAAACGGGUGGUAAUGCCGAAUGUGCCCUUCGGGGGAAAGAUUUAUCGCCUUUAGAGCGGCCCGCGUCUGAUUAGCUAGUUGGUGAGGUAAUGGCUCACCAAGGCGACGAUCAGUAGCUGGUCUGAGAGGAUGACCAGCCACAUUGGGACUGAGACACGGCCCAAACUCCUACGGGAGGCAGCAGUGGGGAAUCUUGCGCAAUGGGCGAAAGCCUGACGCAGCCAUGCCGCGUGAAUGAUGAAGGUCUUAGGAUUGUAAAAUUCUUUCACCGGGGACGAUAAUGACGGUACCCGGAGAAGAAGCCCCGGCUAACUUCGUGCCAGCCGCCGCCGUAACAC
rnacentral:rRNA from 1 species